UUGCCGUGAUGAUUUCAAUCUGGUUUCGCUUUUUUGCUGAGUUCCAGUGAUGCCUUUCUCUUGGCUGUCUGAGCAU